CCAGCUACCCUUAAGUUUUUAUAUAUGAAUUGACAUCGUUUGGUGCACAUAUAUUUUAUAUGAUAUGUAGAUCAUACCCCAAAUCAAUAUACAGUUAUCAAACGUAAAUGCAUUUUAAUAUAGGAUGUCAUUAAAAAGGAGGGUCAUUUUUAUAUAAAAUCUCGCAAAAUUAUGACCCAUAUUUUUGGCACAUCCCCGUAUAUCCAAUAAUAGGAAGUUACCCCCCUGUGUUAUAUU
rnacentral:lncRNA from 1 species